UACGGGGGGGGCGAGCGUUGUUCGGAAUUACUGGGCGUAAAGGGCGCGUAGGCGGCCUACUAAGUCGGACGUGAAAUCCCUCGGCUCAACCGAGGAACUGCGUCCGAUACUGGCGAGGCUUGAAUUCGGGAGAGGGAUGUGGAAUUCCAGGUGUAGCGGUGAAAUGCGUAGAUAUCUGGAGGAACACCGGUGGCGAAGGCGGCAUCCUGGACCGAGAUUGACGCUGAGGCGCGAAAGCUAGGGUAGCAAACGGG
rnacentral:rRNA from 1 species